rnacentral:rRNA from 1 species
CCUACGGGGGGCAGCAGUGGGGAAUAUUGGGCAAUGGGCGCAAGCCUGACCCAGCAACGCCGCGUGAAGGAAGAAGGCUUUCGGGUUGUAAACUUCUUUUGUCAGGGACGAAGCAAGUGACGGUACCUUACGACUACGCCACUGCUAACUACGUGACAGCAGCCGCGGUAAUACGUAGGUGGCAAGCGUUAGCCGGAUUUACUGGGUGUAAAGGGCGGGUAGGCGGGACUGCAAGUCAGAUGUGAAAACCACGGGCUCAACCUGGGGCCUGCAUUUGAAACUGUAGUUCUUGAGUACUGGAGAGGCAGACGGAAUUCCUAGUGUAGCGGUGAAAUGCGUAGAUAUUAGGAGGAACACCAGUGGCGAAGGCGGUCUGCUGGACAGCAACUGACGCUGAGGCGCGAAAGCGUGGGGAGCAAACAGGAUUAGAUACCCCUGUAGUC